rnacentral:rRNA from 1 species
UACAGAGGUGGCAAGCGUUGUUCGGAAUUACUGGGCGUAAAGGGCGCGUAGGCGGUUCGAUAAGUCCCGUGUGAAAGCCCCCGGCUCAACUGGGGAACUGCACGGGAAACUGACGGACUUGAGUUCGGGAGAGGGAAGCGGAAUUCCGGGUGUAGCGGUGAAAUGCGUAGAUAUCCGGAGGAACACCGGUGGCGAAGGCGGCUUCCUGGACCGGCAUUGACGCUGAGGCGCGAAAGCGUGGGGAGCGAACAGG